rnacentral:rRNA from 1 species
GACGAACGCUGGCGGCGUGCCUAAUACAUGCAAGUAGAACGCUGAAGGAGGAGCUUGCUUCUCUGGAUGAGUUGCGAACGGGUGAGUAACGCGUAGGUAACCUGCCUGGUAGCGGGGGAUAACUAUUGGAAACGAUAGCUAAUACCGCAUAAGAGUAGAUGUCGCAUGACAUUUGCUUAAAAGGUGCAAUUGCAUCACUACCAGAUGGACCUGCGUUGUAUUAGCUAGUUGGUGAGGUAACGGCUCACCAAGGCAACGAUACAUAGCCGACCUGAGAGGGGGAUCGGCCACACUGGGACUGGGACACGGCCCAGACUCCUACGGGAGGCAGCAGUAGGGAAUCUUCGGCAAUGGACGGAAGGCUGACCGAGCAACGCCGCGUGAGUGAAGAAGGUUUUCGGAUCGUAAAGCUCUGUUGUAAGAGAAGAACGAGUGUGAGAGUGGAAGGUUCACACUGUGACGGUAGCUUACCAGAAAGGGACGGCUAACUACGUG